rnacentral:rRNA from 1 species
CCUACGGGUGGCAGCAGUGAGGAAUAUUGGUCAAUGGGCGAGAGCCUGAACCAGCCAAGUCGCGUGAAGGAUGACGGCCCUACGGGUUGUAAACUUCUUUUGUCAGGGAGUAAUUUAGUCCACGUGUGGGCUUCUCGAGAGUACCUGAAGAAAAAGCAUCGGCUAAUCCGGUGCCAGCAGCCGCGGUAAUACGGAGGAUGCGAGCGUUAGCCGGAUUUAUUGGGUUUAAGGGGUGCGUAGGCGGAAUAUCAAGUCAGCGGUAAAAAUUCGGGGCUCAACCCCGUCGUGCCGUUGAAACUGAUGGUCUUGAGUGGGCGAGAAGUAUGCGGAAUGCGUGGUGUAGCGGUGAAAUGCAUAGAUAUCACGCAGAACUCCGAUUGCGAAGGCAGCAUACCGGCGCCCAACUGACGCUGAAGCACGAAAGCGUGGGUAUCGAACAGGAUUAGAUACCCCUGUAGUC